rnacentral:lncRNA from 1 species
AGGCAAAUUAUGGUAAUCCAGCUGAAAUCCAUGGGUAGUUUCUCACUAUAACCUUGUAACUGACCUCUGUCCUGUGAAUUCAGGAGUGGAGCUGAAGCAUUUUUAUAAAGAAGUCUAGGAUCUUCUUCCUAGGUGGCUAUGUGGAGAAAGAAAAGCCCUAGAGGGUGAGAGAUCACAGGGUGGAGAAAGGCACCAGGAGAAGAACCAAGAUACCCUAAUACAAAACUAGCACCAAGUCCCUCAGAUAAGUGUUAAAGAUGUGACAUUUCCUAACAGCACUAAGGAAGGAGCACCAGAGAACAUGAAAAGGCACUCAAGCUAAGUGGUCUGUUGAACUUUGCAUAUCUUCCUCUUUGUCAAUGAAAGAAGGCAAAGCCAAACCUAAAUGAAACAAAACAAAAAACUACUUACAAGGAGUUUUAAAAUAUCUCAAUCUCUGCGUUACUUAUGUAACCCACAGAGUAUAUAGAUGACCACUUAGAGGUAUUCCUACUAUUAACA